UGAUAAUCAAAUAAUACAGAAUGAGAAUCCUGUAUGUUGAAAGAAACCUUGAUAGCUUAUUCCAAAUGUGACCACAGUGUUGGUUUAGUGAACUCAGUACACGCAGAUCGUGAAGUUAUUAGGGGAUUACUGCUAUGAAAAUUGCUGUGUCAUGAAUGCCUCUCUGUCAGCACAGGUUGGCUUGAUGAGACCUGCCUGACAAGGUGGUCAUUAAAUCCUAACAGGCAGCUACUGAGCCUGAAACACCUUGGGGCAAUAGGCUGGCUGAGGCCUUGGUGAUCAAGGGGGUUUGGGUCUACAGCUGUGGGCAAUUUGCCAAAGGCUGAGACAGAAGGCAAGUGUUAGGAGAAGAGGUUAUAAACAGAGUGAAGCCUGAUAGAGAUAGUAAGUGUUUAAUGAGAGAGAUGAGUGAGGGGUUGAGUUUAAAUCCAGGAGUAAGAUGCAUUUCUAUAGUUGGGAAGAUACAACUUGUUUCUGAGAUCCUGUACUGUGAGAACUUUUCACGUGGAGUAUGUGCAAGGGAGGGUGCCAUAAAAUGCAAUUUAUACUCUUGCAAGAUAAUUGCUUAUAAUAUCAAACAUAAAACCAUUUCAAGGCUGGGAAAUGUGAGAAAAAGAUUCUUUACACUCUUGGUGGUGCUCAAAAGUGACCUACAAUCUGGUCCAACCAAAAGCGAAGUUGGGCGCAUCUGCAAGCACAUUACUGAAUAUCUUUGUUGCCUGGUUUUCUCCCAGGCUCCACUUUGGAGUAAGCCAGCUAUUUCCUUUCAAGAGGAGACCUAGAUACAGUUAACAUGAUAAUUUGUUCCAGGGUCUGUUCCUGACAGGCUGUAUGGAUGCAGCCCACGUCAAUGUUGACUCUUUCCAUCUAGGACAUUCCUCCUACAUUAUCCCAUGCGGUAAUGCAGCACAUAUCCGUGGUGUCAUGCUAUGAAAAACACAGCUGUACCAGACUGCAUCACAAUCCUCACUUUAUUUUAGGCAUCGUGAACUGGAAAAUGAUGACAAGUACUUAGCCUACCCUUGACCUAAAGGAAUCCCUACAGGAGUGGGAUGCCUUUAAUUUAUAGCCUCAGCCAGUACAUCCUGGGGAGCCUGGUGAGGUCAGUGCUGGCUGUUCUGUUGUGCCUUUAAAUGCUGAGAUUUCUCAGAUAUUAACACAGGAGAGAUUCUGUGAGACCACUUGGAGAAUGUAAGGUGAAUAAAGUCUUCAUCUAUUGGUAUAUCCUUUGUUCA
rnacentral:lncRNA from 1 species